CAGCAGCCGCGGGAAUACGAAGGGGGCUAGCGUUGUUCGGAAUUACUGGGCGUAAAGCGCACGUAGGCGGAUACUUAAGUCAGGGGUGAAAUCCCGGGGCUCAACCCCGGAACUGCCUUUGAUACUGGGUAUCUCGAGUCCGGAAGAGGUGAGUGGAAUUCCGAGUGUAGAGGUGAAAUUCGUAGAUAUUCGGAGGAACACCAGUGGCGAAGGCGGCUCACUGGUCCGGUACUGACGCUGAGGUGCGAAAGCGUGGGGAGCAAACAGGAUUAGAUACCCCAGUAGUCCCUGUCUCUUAUAC
rnacentral:rRNA from 1 species